rnacentral:rRNA from 1 species
AUACGGAGGAUGCAAGCGUUAUCCGGAUUUAUUGGGUUUAAAGGGUGCGUAGGCGGAUGAUUAAGCGUGAGGUGAAAUGCCACUGCUCAACAGUGGAACUGCCUCGCGAACUGGUUGUCUUGAAUGCUCCUGCCGUGGGAGGAAUGUGUGGUGUAGCGGUGAAAUGCAUAGAGAUCACACAGAACACCGAUUGCGAAGGCAUCUCACGAAGGGGUGAUUGCCGCUGAGGCACGAAAGCGUGGGGAUCAAACAGGAUUAGAUACCCUGGUAGUCCACGCAGUAAACGAUGAUAACUAACCGCUGGGUCGUAGUGAUUCAGUGGCCAAGCGAAAGCGAUAAGUUAUCCACCUGGGGAGUACGACCGCAAGGUUGAAACUCAAAUGAAUUGACGGGG